rnacentral:rRNA from 1 species
UACGUAGGUGACAAGCGUUGUCCGGAUUUACUGGGCGUAAAGAGCGCGCAGGCGGUCGAUCAAGUCCGAGUGUGAAAGCCCCCGGCUCAACUGGGGAGGGUCAUUCGAUACUGAUCGACUCGAAGGCAGGAGAGGGUAGUGGAAUUCCCGGUGUAGUGGUGAAAUGCGUAGAUAUCGGGAGGAACACCAGUGGCGAAGGCGACUACCUGGCCUGUUCUUGACGCUGAGGCGCGCAAAGCUAAGGGGAGCAAACGGG